rnacentral:rRNA from 1 species
GGGUUGUGAGGUUAAGCGACUAAGCGUACACGGUGGAUGCCCUGGCAGUCAGAGGCGAUGAAGGACGUGCUAAUCUGCGAUAAGCGUCGGUAAGGUGAUAUGAACCGUUAUAACCGGCGAUUUCCGAAUGGGGAAACCCAGUGUGUUUCGACACACUAUCAUUAACUGAAUCCAUAGGUUAAUGAGGCGAACCGGGGGAACUGAAACAUCUAAGUACCCCGAGGAAAAGAAAUCAACCGAGAUUCCCCCAGUAGCGGCGAGCGAACGGGGAGCAGCCCAGAGCCUGAAUCAGUGUGUGUGUUAGUGGAAGCGUCUGGAAAGGCGCGCGAUACAGGGUGACAGCCCCGUACACAAAAAUGCACAUAUUGUGAGCUCGAUGAGUAGGGCGGGACACGUGGUAUCCUGUCUGAAUAUGGGGGGACCAUCCUCCAAGGCUAAAUACUCCUGACUGACCGAUAGUGAACCAGUACCGUGAGGGAAAGGCGAAAAGAACCCCGGCGAGGGGAGUGAAAAAGAACCUGAAACCGUGUACGUACAAGCAGUGGGAGCCUCUUUUAUGGGGUGACUGCGUACCUUUUGUAUAAUGGGUCAGCGACUUAUAUUCUGUAGCAAGGUUAACCGAAUAGGGGAGCCGAAGGGAAACCGAGUCUUAACUGGGCGUUAAGUUGCAGGGUAUAGACCCGAAACCCGGUGAUCUAGCCAUGGGCAGGUUGAAGGUUGGGUAACACUAACUGGAGGACCGAACCGACUAAUGUUGAAAAAUUAGCGGAUGACUUGUGGCUGGGGGUGAAAGGCCAAUCAAACCGGGAGAUAGCUGGUUCUCCCCGAAAGCUAUUUAGGUAGCGCCUCGUGAAUUCAUCUCCGGGGGUAGAGCACUGUUUCGGCAAGGGGGUCAUCCCGACUUACCAACCCGAUGCAAACUGCGAAUACCGGAGAAUGUUAUCACGGGAGACACACGGCGGGUGCUAACGUCCGUCGUGAAGAGGGAAACAACCCAGACCGCCAGCUAAGGUCCCAAAGUCAUGGUUAAGUGGGAAACGAUGUGGGAAGGCCCAGACAGCCAGGAUGUUGGCUUAGAAGCAGCCAUCAUUUAAAGAAAGCGUAAUAGCUCACUGGUCGAGUCGGCCUGCGCGGAAGAUGUAACGGGGCUAAACCAUGCACCGAAGCUGCGGCAGCGACGCUUAUGCGUUGUUGGGUAGGGGAGCGUUCUGUAAGCCUGUGAAGGUGUGCUGUGAGGCAUGCUGGAGGUAUCAGAAGUGCGAAUGCUGACAUAAGUAACGAUAAAGCGGGUGAAAAGCCCGCUCGCCGGAAGACCAAGGGUUCCUGUCCAACGUUAAUCGGGGCAGGGUGAGUCGACCCCUAAGGCGAGGCCGAAAGGCGUAGUCGAUGGGAAACAGGUUAAUAUUCCUGUACUUGGUGUUACUGCGAAGGGGGGACGGAGAAGGCUAUGUUGGCCGGGCGACGGUUGUCCCGGUUUAAGCGUGUAGGCUGGUUUUCCAGGCAAAUCCGGAAAAUCAAGGCUGAGGCGUGAUGACGAGGCACUACGGUGCUGAAGCAACAAAUGCCCUGCUUCCAGGAAAAGCCUCUAAGCAUCAGGUAACAUCAAAUCGUACCCCAAACCGACACAGGUGGUCAGGUAGAGAAUACCAAGGCGCUUGAGAGAACUCGGGUGAAGGAACUAGGCAAAAUGGUGCCGUAACUUCGGGAGAAGGCACGCUGAUAUGUAGGUGAAGUCCCUUGCGGAUGGAGCUGAAAUCAGUCGAAGAUACCAGCUGGCUGCAACUGUUUAUUAAAAACACAGCACUGUGCAAACACGAAAGUGGACGUAUACGGUGUGACGCCUGCCCGGUGCCGGAAGGUUAAUUGAUGGGGUCAGCGCAAGCGAAGCUCUUGAUCGAAGCCCCGGUAAACGGCGGCCGUAACUAUAACGGUCCUAAGGUAGCGAAAUUCCUUGUCGGGUAAGUUCCGACCUGCACGAAUGGCGUAAUGAUGGCCAGGCUGUCUCCACCCGAGACUCAGUGAAAUUGAACUCGCUGUGAAGAUGCAGUGUACCCGCGGCAAGACGGAAAGACCCCGUGAACCUUUACUAUAGCUUGACACUGAACAUUGAGCCUUGAUGUGUAGGAUAGGUGGGAGGCUUUGAAGUGUGGACGCCAGUCUGCAUGGAGCCGACCUUGAAAUACCACCCUUUAAUGUUUGAUGUUCUAACGUUGACCCGUAAUCCGGGUUGCGGACAGUGUCUGGUGGGUAGUUUGACUGGGGCGGUCUCCUCCUAAAGAGUAACGGAGGAGCACGAAGGUUGGCUAAUCCUGGUCGGACAUCAGGAGGUUAGUGCAAUGGCAUAAGCCAGCUUGACUGCGAGCGUGACGGCGCGAGCAGGUGCGAAAGCAGGUCAUAGUGAUCCGGUGGUUCUGAAUGGAAGGGCCAUCGCUCAACGGAUAAAAGGUACUCCGGGGAUAACAGGCUGAUACCGCCCAAGAGUUCAUAUCGACGGCGGUGUUUGGCACCUCGAUGUCGGCUCAUCACAUCCUGGGGCUGAAGUAGGUCCCAAGGGUAUGGCUGUUCGCCAUUUAAAGUGGUACGCGAGCUGGGUUUAGAACGUCGUGAGACAGUUCGGUCCCUAUCUGCCGUGGGCGCUGGAGAACUGAGGGGGGCUGCUCCUAGUACGAGAGGACCGGAGUGGACGCAUCACUGGUGUUCGGGUUGUCAUGCCAAUGGCACUGCCCGGUAGCUAAAUGCGGAAGAGAUAAGUGCUGAAAGCAUCUAAGCACGAAACUUGCCCCGAGAUGAGUUCUCCCUGACCCUUUAAGGGUCCUGAAGGAACGUUGAAGACGACGACGUUGAUAGGCCGGGUGUGUAAGCGCAGCGAUGCGUUGAGCUAACCGGUACUAAUGAACCGUGAGGCUUAACCUUACAACGCCGAAGCUGUU